GUUGUUACUAAGGCAGCAGAGUAGAAAGAUGAAGUGCAAGGACCUGGAAAUCAGACACACCUGGGUUCCUGGUGAGCUUCACUGCUUCCUGGUCUCUGAUAUCAGCUCUGCCCAAAUUUCAGCUGUCACAGAAUGAGUGAUCCUCAUAGUAUAAUGGAAAUGCAUCAUCUCAGUUUCCCCAUGGCCUGAAUGUCCAUACAAAAUGAGAGCCAGUAGAGAAAAACAGAGGACGUGAGGAGUUUUUAAAAAUUGAGGAAAAGUGGAAGGAAAAGUAAGGAUGAAGGUGAAGAUGAAGGAAUAUGUCAGAGAUGCUAGCACUGGCAUCCCCCACCACACAGUACCAUGUACUGCUAAAGAACUCUAGAACAUACAGGGUGUAGACGGCAGUCUUCUUGGGGAAAAAGAGGCUUCAGGAUUGCAAGAUUUCAGCUACUGUCUCUCCUCGGAGCAGGAUUCCAUCUUUUCCAUGGCUGGGGCCCUUGACACAUGUCACUGUGCACUGCUCUUCUCGCUGGGAUUUCCAAAAGACCUUGGCUCAGGUGUCACUUUUGCAGAAAAGCAUUUACUGACUGUUGACUUGGCCAAAUCCCUGUGCUGUGUUUCCUAGUACGCCACACCCUUGGGACUGCAGCCCUGUGAAGACUGAGGUUCUGACGAAAGUCAAGAAAAAUCUGCAUUGCAACUCUUCGAAGAGAAGAAUGUGACAUCUUGUGUCGUUUUCCAGAGGCAGCUGCAUAAAUCACAGGAGACUGAAUACAGGAGAAGAUGUAAGAAUCCAGUCAGCUUCUAUCAAACCAGACAUAAAAGACAUUUGCAGAUAUGUAAAACAAUGCCACUCUUCACAUUGCAUUUUUAAAAAAUAUUAUUUCCCAGAAAAUAUAUCAUCU
rnacentral:lncRNA from 1 species